CUGGGGCAGCGGGUCGUGCGCGGCACGCAGGGCUAGCGGGAAGGCCUCGGCGAGCUUGGUGUUGUUGGGCAGGCCAUGCACGCGGCUGUCGGGCAGCGGCGUGCGGUGGCGGCACACCGGGCACGCGAUGGCGCCUGGCGGGCCGUGCCAGGGCGGCGGGCGCAGCGGGCGUUCAGGCGCGGUGGUAGCGGCGGCGGCGGCGCGGAGCUGCAGUUGGGUCAAGCACUCCUGGCAGAAGGUGUGCAAGCACGCCAGCAGCUUGGGCGCGCGCCGGUCUGCGUCGAAGUAGUUGUAGCAGAUCUUGCACUCGUAGUCCUCGAGCGGAGGGAGGCCGGAGAUCGCCACCGCUGCGUUCCGGGCUCCGGCCUCCCGACCGUCCCGGGCUCCCACCGCGGUGCUUCCUGCUCCUGUGGAGCUCCCAGGGCUGCUGGUUGGACUCUGCUCGCCGCCGCCGCUGUCGCUUGCCGGCGCUGCCAUGGCAUGAUCCGCCCCUCAUCAGGGUUAAGGAGCUCACCGGUGAUGUAAUGCGGACCCGCACAGGGAGGGGAAGCAGCAGCCUCAGCAGUGGCGGCAGCGGUGGUUCUAGUCUUCGUGAAAAUCGUGAUCUCAUUUCUCUGUCCAAGGGCGAAGGCCGGUCGUCACCAAGACAUUUGCACUUUCUGUUUUUAUUAGCAAAGCCCAGCUGCUUUGGCAGCCCGGCAGCGUUCUUCUCAGGGUGGAAGCCGAGGGAUGGCAUUUUCCUUUCACCAUUUGGAAGAAAUUUUGGAAUGAACAAUAUACCUUUUCUCCCUCUGAAAUACUGCUUCCUGAGCUUUAAGGAGGCAUAGCCAGAUCUUGCUGAUUUCCUGACGCU
rnacentral:lncRNA from 1 species